rnacentral:rRNA from 1 species
UGAGGAAUAUUGGUCAAUGGACGAGAGUCUGAACCAGCCAAGUAGCGUGCAGGAAGACGGCCCUAUGGGUUGUAAACUGCUUUUAUAAGGGAAUAAAGUGAGUCUCGUGAGACUUUUUGUAUGUACCGUAUGAAUAAGCAUCGGCUAACUCCGUGCCAGCAGCCGCGGUAAUACGGAGGAUGCGAGCGUUAUCCGGAUUUAUUGGGUUUAAAGGGAGCGCAGACGGGAGAUUAAGUCAGUUGUGAAAGUUUGCGGCUCAACCGUAAAAUUGCAGUUGAUACUGGUUUCCUUGAGUGCAGUUGAGGCAGGCGGAAUUCGUGGUGUAGCGGUGAAAUGCUUAGAUAUCACGAAGAACCCCGAUUGCGAAGGCAGCUUGCUAAACUGUAACUGACGUUCAUGCUCGAAAGUGUGGGUAUCAAACAGGAUUAGAUACCCUGGUAGUCCACACGGUAAACGAUGGAUACUCGCUGUUGGCGAUAUACUGUCAGCGGCCAAGCGAAAGCAUUAAGUAUCCCACCUGGGGAGUACGCCGGCAACGGUGAAACUCAAAGGAAUUGACGGGGGCCCGCACAAGCGGAGGAACAUGUGGUUUAAUUCGAUGAUACGCGAGGAACCUUACCCGGGCUUAAAUUGCAGACGAAUUACGAGGAAACUUGUAAGCCGCAAGGCGUCUGUGAAGGUGCUGCAUGGUUGUCGUCAGCUCGUGCCGUGAGGUGUCGGCUUAAGUGCCAUAACGAGCGCAACCCUCGUGGUCAGUUACUAACAGGUUAAGCUGAGGACUCUGGCCAGACUGCCAUCGUAAGAUGUGAGGAAGGUGGGGAUGACGUCAAAUCAGCACGGCCCUUACGUCCGGGGCUACACACGUGUUACAAUGGGAGGUACAGAAGGCAGCUACCCGGCGACGGGAUGCCAAUCCCCAAAACCUCUCUCAGUUCGGACUGGAGUCUGCAACCCGACUCCACGAAGCUGGAUUCGCUAGUAAUCGCGCAUCAGCCACGGCGCGGUGAAUACGUUCCC